AGAAUGCGAACUACGAAAGUCUG
rnacentral:siRNA from 1 species